AUAACUCAAACUACCAUUGUUACUCCUGUAGUUGAAAGAAAAUUUGCAAAAAGAUUUCUUUAAACACCCACACAGACAUGGAUGAGAAAUUGCAGAAUGCUGCCAUGGAAGGAGAUGUGGAAGCAUUAUUUUCAAUACUUGAAGAGGAUCCCAACGUUUUAGAGCGUAUUGAUCAAGUAUCAUUUGUGACUACUCCCUUGCAUACAGCUGCAAGGGAGGGAAAGAUCCAUUUCGCCAAGGAGAUACUAAACUUAAAGCCUUCAUUCGCUUGGAAGCGAGACCAUCUUGGGCGUAGCCCCCUCCACUUGGCUUUGGAGGGAAAACACCAGCAGAAAGAGCUUAGUCCCCGUGAUUUGGAUUUGGAAGAGAAGUACCAGGAACUUGUAACAUGGUUGAUAAAACAUGACAGUGAGGUUGUCCGUGUUAAAGCAAAGGGGAUGGUUACUCCUCUGCACUAUGCAGCUCAACUAAACGAUGAAACCAGUUUGGCUGACUUUUUGUAUGUUUGUCCAUUAUCAAUCGAAGAGUUGACUGUUAAAUCUGAAACUGUUGUACAUGUCGCUGUAAAAAACGGGAGUUUGAAAGCCUUUAAAGUUUUGUUAGGAUGGCUUCGACGCUUCAACAAAGAGGAGAUCCUGAAGUGGAAGGACGAGGAAGGAAACAAUGCAUUACAUACUGCAGUAUCUACAAAUCAACCUCAGGAUAUCUCCAAGGUCGUGCCAAGCCGUGAAUCCGCUCAAGUCUUAUAGGCUAACAAUAGAGUUGAGAACUGAAGAUGCUGUUUCAGCUUUAGCACCAAGUAGAAUGUCCCUAACCGCUGCAUCUGGCGAACCUUGGCGAUCAUAGAAGAUGUCCAAAGCUGUCAAAUCUUUACUGUUCUUUUUACUCACUUUCAUACAUCCAAUCAACAACUUCAUCGCUUUUAUUAUUGAGGAGAUAAGGAAAUAUCAGAAGCUUGUGUAAAGAAAAUGACAAGGCAAAAUGAGGCGCAAGGGGUGGAUACAAACCAGGUUGAGUUCUAACAGUCUUUGGUUUGUGAUUGUUAAACCAAAUUUAAAAUUGAUUUGAGUUUGAUUCAAAUAAAAAAUAAUUUGAUUCGAUUUAGCUCAAAUUUGACUUGUAUUCAUAGUUUAAAUUUGAUGUUCAAAUUUGUGGUUCAAGUUUACAGCUCGUUGACAAAAUAAUGACUACGAUAGUACAUUUUGGAGUUCAAGAGGAAUUUUAUCAACGCUUUGGUAUACCUGACCAGGGCUUUUCAGAAUUUGGAUUAGUCCCCGUGAUUCGGAUUUGGAGCAGAAGUACCAGGAACUUGUAACAUGGUUGAUAAAACAUGACAAUGAGGUUGUCCCUGCUAAAGCAAAGGGGAUGGUUACUCCUUUGCACUAUGCAGUUAAACUAGACGAUGAAUCCAGUUUGGCUGACUUUUUGUAUGUUUGUCCAUUAUCAAUCGAAGAUUUGACUGUUAAAUCUGAAACUGCUGUACAUGUCACCCUCAAAAACGGGAGUUUAAAAGCCUUUAAAGUCCUGUUAGGAUGGCUUCAAUGCUUCAACAAAGAAGAGAUUCUGAAGUGGGAGGACGAAGAAGGAAACAAUGCAUUGCAUACUGCAGUAUCUGCAAAUCAACCUGAGAUGGCGAAGCUGUUGAUUGGAUACAUGAACGUGAAUAUAAAGAACAGAAAAGUUUUGACAGCUUUGGACAUCUUCUACGAUCGCCAAGGUCAAGGUUUGGUAGAUGCAGCAGUUGGGGACAUUCUACUUGCUGCUAAAGCUAAAAGUGCAUCUCAACUCCAUCAUCCGUCUUUAAGAGAUUCACGAAAAAUUUCACUAGUUGAGUACUUUUCUGGGGGCUUGUCGUUUUCAGCAAGAAUUGCGAAAAGAUUUAGUCAGGGUUACAGAAGCUUUGAUCUUGUGUUAUUUACAUUUGAUACAAAUAAAUAUACAUUUGAUAUUU